rnacentral:rRNA from 1 species
UGCCUUGUGGUUCAGGACAACAUUGGGAAACCGAUGCUAAUACUGGAUAAGCCCUUACGUGGAAAGUUUUAAUGCCAUAAGAUGAGCCCGCAUUUGAUUAGUUAGUUGGUGAGGUAAUGGCUCACCAAGACAAUGAUCAAUAGCUGAUCUGAGAGGAUGAUCAGCCACACUGGGACUGAGACACGGCCCAGACUCCUACGGGAGGCAGCAGUGGGGAAUCUUGCACAAUGGAGGAAACUCUGAUGCAGCGAUGCCGUUGUGAGUGAAGAAGGCCUUUGGGUUGUAAGGCUCUUUUGUAGGGGAAGAUAAUGACU